CUUUAAAUGCCAUGAUAGGGGUAAAUUUUAUUCCCUGGCUGCUGCACAACCGCAAAGGAAACAUAAACCCAGCAAAACAGUCUGGCAAAUUACCCUGUGUAAAAGAUGAAAUGGGCAAGCUCUUAAUAUGACCCUGUAACUUUAUAAAAGACCAUGAAACCAGUACAUGGAGGGCAUUGUUGUACCAGUCAUACAAAUGUAUGUUUUACUGCAGUAACAGUUUACAGUUGAUAAAAAAAACAAGUACAGCUGACUAAGUGAGACAGUUUGUUGCAUGCAUGUAUGCCUAUUUUUUU